ACAUUCUACAGUUAUUCUUGACAACUAUAGACAAGAAAUGAGAGAGAACUGGGUUAGUCUAAGGCCACAUGGAGAUCUGUCUUGCACUAUGUUGACAUAGUUUAGAGGCCCCGGCUAGGGACGAGUCAGGCCCUUUUCUUGUGAGCUCAAUUAAGUCUGAUCUUCAAUUACCUCCUUGUUUGUCUCUCAGACCCUUGGCCACUAUUCAGUCGCCAUAUGUACCUCAGAGCCAGGUACCAGACAACCAGGAACAAGACUACUGAAAUUAUUUCAAGUCAUCAAGCCUAAGCCUGUUUGCCCUGCCUAACCCUUUCAUUCCUGCAGAAACCACAAAAAAGGGUUUUCACCUACUGCUGCCCUUUAUCCCUCCGGCUCAACUCUGAUGCUGGUGCUCCCAUGAGUGGCCCCCUGUGGCAUGGCAUGCUGUGUUCUCCCCAGGGAACUGCAGGAAGAUUGCUUGAGCCUAGGAGUUUGAGACCAGCCUGGGGAACAUGGCUAGACUGCAUCUCUACAAAAAUACCAAAAUUAAUCAGCCAUGGUGGCACGUGCCUGUGUCCCCACCAUCUACUGGGAAGGCUGAGCUUUAGGAGACAGGAUGUCUGAGGUCAGAAGUUCCUCCCGGUGACCAAACCAGUUAAGACUGAUGGGAUUCAAGAUCCAGCUCACUUGGCCUUUGAACAACCUCUAACUUCAUUAUAAUGUAUUUUCCAUACUAAAUGACACUCCCACUAGUGCCAUGACAGUUUAUAAUCACCAUGACAAUGACCAGAAGAAAUUAUGAAAGGACAAAAAGGAAGACCACAACUCCGGUUCUGAGGAAUUCACCCAUUGCCAGAAAAGACAAGAAUAUUCCUCCCCUUGUUUUUAAUGCCCAAACCCUUCAUUAAAGAUGCCCCAUAUCUGUGGC